rnacentral:rRNA from 1 species
GAUGAACGCUAGCGGCAGGCCUAAUACAUGCAAGUCGAGGGAGAAUGUUGGAUUCGUCUGACAUGAAACCGGCGCACGGGUGCGUAACACGUAUGCAACCUACCUUUAACUGGGGUAUAGCUCAGAGAAAUCUGAAUUAAUCCCCCAUAAGACUACGACAUGGCAUCAUGAUGUAGUUAAAGCUCCGGCGGUUAAGGACGGGCAUGCGGUACAUUAGCUAGUUGGUGAGAUAAUGGCUCACCAAGGCUACGAUGUAUAGGGGGUCUGAGAGGAUGAUCCCCCACACUGGUACUGAGACACGGACCAGACUCCUACGGGAGGCAGCAGUAGGGAAUAUUGGUCAAUGGACGCAAGUCUGAACCAGCCAUGCCGCGUGAAGGAUGAAGGCCCUAUGGGUCGUAAACUUCUUUUAUUAGGGAAGAAAAAACGGGAUGCGUCCUGUACUGACGGUACUUAAUGAAUAAGGAUCGGCUAACUUCGUGCCAGCAGCCGCCGUAA